AGAUUGAUGAUGGUUUUCACCUGUCUUCUAAGCAGGAUUCCAGCCUCACUCCCCCCCUUUGCUUCAGCAAAACCUACUUCUGUAAGAUCUUUACAAGUGUAUUUCUUCCCCUGAUGAAAUGCUAUUAGGUGAGAAUUUAAAAGGAGAUCCGUGAAAGAGAAAAAUAGUGGUGACAAUGAAGAAUCUCUCUGAAAUUGUCUUUCUGAAAGCUCCAAAUGGUUUCCUAACAGCACAAAAGUGCCUCCUGAUUAUUUCUGAGCUGAGGCUCAGGGAAGUCCUAAGGGUGGGCAGGCAGGAGGAUGGCAUGGGCGUCACCAACUGAACGUGAGCAUUUCUGAAGGACGAGGGGGGAUUUGUAAAUCCUAAACAAAGGAGAUGGGGAGAAGCUGCGGCAGAAAAGUGCCACCCUGCCACCCUCCCAGUGACACCGGAGCAGCCCAGAUUGUGGCUACAAGGGGGAGCUCAGGGCUCCAGGCUUCCCCAUGCUGAAAGCUUCCAUGAGUUUCCGACAGUGGUGGAAGCAGUUUCCUGGUCUGCAGGUCCCUGUGAACCCCCCCUUCAGUCUUCAUCGGGAUUUUUUUUGUGGCAACUUUCCAGAAGGGCUUUGCAAUUUCCAUCUAAACUAUCAGACACAUCUUCCUACCUUGCAGUGACUUGUCCCUUCAGGUCUUCCUGUGGUAAAAUAAAUAGGGCUCACCCCAAGAUUUUGUGGGUGAGACCUGGGCAGGUGCUGCUUGUGCCCAUCUCCAGAGCCAGUGGUGCUCGCUUGCAGGAAGGAGCACUGCUAACACGAGCUUCAUGCUGUGUUCCCAUGGCAACCCAAGUGUCACGUUCAUCAUCAUCUCAUUUCUGGCAGAAAAAAAAAUACAGGUCCAGUGAAGAAAAGUCCAGGAGUCCCGGUGAGCUUUGCUGAGGUUGGGUGGUUUUCCACAGAAUCACAGAAUGAGUUUGGAAGGGAUCUCUGGAGAUCAUCCAGUCCAACCUCCUUGCUCAAGCAGAGUCCCUUUACAGCACAAUGGAAUGAGUAUCAUUUUUUAACAUCAUCGCUAGCACCAUU
ensembl:lncRNA